GAGUAACACGUAUGACAACCUACCUUAACAGGGAAUAACCGUGAAAACGGACUAAUACUCCAUAACACAGGGGUCCCGCAUGGGAAUAUUUGUUAAAGAUUAAUCGGUUGAAGAUGGGCAUGCGUUCCAUUAGCUUGUUGGUGAGGUAACGGCUCACCAAGGCCACGAUGGAUAGGGGAACUGAGAGGUUUAUCCCCCACACUGGAACUGAGACACGGUCCAGACUCCUACGGGAGGCAGCAGUGAGGAAUAUUGGUCAAUGGAGGCAACUCUGAACCAGCCAAGUCGCGUAGAAGGAUGAAGGUCUUAUGGAUUGUAAACUUCUUUUGCAAGGGAAUAAAGUGGGGGACGUGUCCUCCUUCGCAUGUACCUUGCGAAUAAGGAUCGGCUAACUCCGUGCCAGCCGCGGC
rnacentral:rRNA from 1 species